rnacentral:rRNA from 1 species
CCUACGGGCGGCUGCAGUGGGGAAUAUUGGACAAUGGGGGGAACCCUGAUCCAGCCAUGCCGCGUGUGUGAAGAAGGCCCUCGGGUUGUAAAGCACUUUCAGUGAGGAAGAACGCCUGGUGGUUAAUACCCAUCAGGAAAGACAUCACUCACAGAAGAAGCACCGGCUAACUCCGUGCCAGCAGCCGCGGUAAUACGGAGGGUGCGAGCGUUAAUCGGAAUUACUGGGCGUAAAGCGCGCGUAGGUGGCUUGAUAAGACGGUUGUGAAAGCCCCGGGCUCAACCUGGGAACGGCAUCCGGAACUGUCAAGCUAGAGUGCAGGAGAGGAAGGUAGAAUUCCCGGUGUAGCGGUGAAAUGCGUAGAGAUCGGGAGGAAUACCAGUGGCGAAGGCGGCCUUCUGGACUGACACUGACACUGAGGUGCGAAAGCGUGGGUAGCAAACAGGAUUAGAUACCCUUGUAGUC